rnacentral:lncRNA from 1 species
CUGCAUCAUCAAAAUAUAUAGUUCUGGAGAUUAAAUUUAACUAAAAUUGCAUCCAUCGUAUACCAGCAUACGUCUGCCACAUUAUAUCAGUUGCUAUCAAUAAUUAACCAGACAUGCUGUUGUCAUCCAAAUUAUCGAUCAAUUAAUUAUUGGAUGGUAGAUGACAAAUCCAACCUCACCUGCUGCCUUCGCUCACGCAACGCAAACACUUCAAAGUCCAAAUAAUAAACAGCUAGACCGAGAGAGAGACUCGAAGUAAACCUGCGCUUUUUUUUUUUUUUGCUUUCUUGCAGAUCGAGAGGCUGCCGCCGGCGAGUCAAACGGCUGGCUGACCGGCCGGCCGGCGGUGGCAACGAUCGAUCGGCGCGCGGCGGAUCGAUCGAGUCGAUGGACUGCGUGGUCCCGAUCGUGAUGCAGGUGGUCCUUAGGAGGAGCAUCAGCAGGCUGCAGGAAGUCUUCGCCAUGGCGAUGGAGCUCGGCACGGCGAUCCUCGUGGCGGUGCGGUUCUCCGGCGUGGUCUUCCCCCGGCCGCCGCCGUCUUCGCCGGCCACAUCGGCGACGUCGACGACGUACUACUACUCCCCGGCGGCGGCCUCCAUGAUCGGCAUGUCCAGGCUUGACAGACACUAGCUAGGGUGAACUAGCUAGGUAGCUACCCAUGCCUCCAUUAAAUAAUUAAUCAUCGUUUUGUUUGAUAAUCGAAUUAAGUUGAGUGCUGUUCAAUUAGCGGCAAAUGUUGAUCGAUCGGCCGAUCGAUUGGUCAUUUCUUUGAGGAACUGAGAUUAUAUUGCGUGCGAAAUUGUGAAUUUUUCACUUAAUUACUGUUCAGGUAGAAAUGAUCAUUACAUUCAGAUUCAAGAUACAUAUCAGUUUCUCUCUAUUCCCCUUAUUAAAUUCUUAAGUGCUUCGUUUUCAGUUCUGAUUUAUCUGUAUGUAAUCGUAUGUGAACAAAAC